rnacentral:rRNA from 1 species
GACAGAGGCCUCGAGCGUUAGGCGGAAUCACUGGGCUUAAAGCGUGUGUAGGCGGGCCCGUAAGUGUCUUGUGAAAUCCCACGGCUCAACCGUGGAACUGCUGGGCAUACUGCGGGUCUUGGGCCAACUAGGGGCAGCCGGAACAAGCGGUGGAGCGGUGAAAUGCGUAGAUAUCGGGAGGAACACCAGUGGCGCAAGCGGCUGACUGGCCGAGACCUGACGCUGAGACGCGACGGCGUGGGGAGCAAACCGG